AUUGAACGCUGGCGGCAGGCCUAACACAUGCAAGUCGAGCGGAUGAAGGGAGCUUGCUCCUGGAUUCAGCGGCGGACGGGUGAGUAAUGCCUAGGAAUCUGCCUGGUAGUGGGGGAUAACGUCCGGAAACGGGCGCUAAUACCGCAUACGUCCUGAGGGAGAAAGUGGGGGAUCUUCGGACCUCACGCUAUCAUAUGAGCCUAGGUCGGAUUAGCUAGUUGGUGGGGUAAAGGCCUACCAAGGCGACGAUCCGUAACUGGUCUGAGAGGAUGAUCAGUCACACUGGAACUGAGACACGGUCCAGACUCCUACGGGAGGCAGCAGUGGGGAAUAUUGGACAAUGGGCGAAAGCAUGAUACAGCAAUGCCGCGUGUGUGAAGAAGGUCUUCGGAUUGUAAAGCACUUUAAGUUGGGAGGAAGGGCAGUAAGUUAAUACCUUGCUGUUUUGACGUUACCAACAGAAUAAGCACCGGCUAACUUCGUG
rnacentral:rRNA from 1 species